rnacentral:rRNA from 1 species
GACGAACGCUGGCGGCGUGCCUAAUACAUGCAAGUAGAACGCUGAAGCGAGGAGCUUACUCUUCUUGGAUGAGUUGCGAACGGGUGAGUAACGCGUAGGUAACCUGCCUUGUAGCGGGGGAUAACUAUUGGAAACGAUAGCUAAUACCGCAUAACAAUGGAUGACACAUGUCAUUUAUUUGAAAGGGGCAAUUGCUCCACUACAAGAUGGACCUGCGUUGUAUUAGCUAGUAGGUGAGGUAAUGGCUCACCUAGGCGACGAUACAUAGCCGACCUGAGAGGGUGAGCGGCCACCCUGGGACUGAGACACGGCCCAGACUCCUACGGGAGGCAGCAGUAGGGAAUCUGCGGCAAUGGGGGCAACACUGACCGAGCAACGCCGCGGGAGUGAAGAAGGUUUUCGGAUCGUAAAGCUCUGUUGUAAGUCAAGAACGGGUGUGAGAGUGGAAAGUUCACACUGUGACGGUAGCUUAACAGAAAGGGACGGCUAACUACGUG